UACGGAGGAUGCAAGCGUUAUCCGGAAUGAUUGGGCGUAAAGCGUCUGCAGGUGGCAGUUCAAGUCUGCUGUCAAAGACCGGGGCUUAACUUCGGAAAGGCAGUGGAAACUGAACAGCUAGAGUAUGGUAGGGGUAGAGGGAAUUCCCGGUGUAGCGGUGAAAUGCGUAGAUAUCGGGAAGAACACCAGUGGCGAAAGCGCUCUACUGGGCCAUAACUGACACUGAGGGACGAAAGCUAGGGGAGCGAAAGGG
rnacentral:rRNA from 1 species